rnacentral:rRNA from 1 species
UACGUAGGGUGCGAGCGUUGUCCGGAAUUAUUGGGCGUAAAGAGCUCGUAGGCGGUGUGUCACGUCGGCCGUGAAAACCUGCAGCUUAACUGUGGGCGUGCGGUCGAUACUGGCAUCACUGGAGUUCGGCAGGGGAGACUGGAAUUCCUGGUGUAGCGGUGAAAUGCGCAGAUAUCAGGAGGAACACCGGUGGCGAAGGCGGGUCUCUGGGCCGAGACUGACGCUGAGGAGCGAAAGCGUGGGGAGCGAACAGG